GAUGAACGCUGGCGGCGUGCCUAAUACAUGCAAGUCGAGCGAAUGGAUUAAGAGCUUGCUCUUAUGAAGUUAGCGGCGGACGGGUGAGUAACACGUGGGUAACCUGCCCAUAAGACUGGGAUAACUCCGGGAAUCCGGGGCUAAUACCGGAUAACAUUUUGAACCGCAUGGUUCGAAAUUGAAAGGCGGCUUCGGCUGUCACUUAUGGAUGGACCCGCGUCGCAUUAGCUAGUUGGUGAGGUAACGGCUCACCAAGGCAACGAUGCGUAGCCGACCUGAGAGGGGGAGCGGCCACACUGGGACUGAGACACGGCCCAGACUCCUACGGGAGGCAGCAGUAGGGAAUCUUCCGCAAUGGACGAAAGUCUGACGGAGCAACGCCGCGUGAGUGAAGAAGGUUUUCGGAUCGUAAAACUCUGUUGUUAGGGAAGAACAAGUACCGGAGUAACUGCCGGUACCUUGACGGUACCUGACCAGAAAGCCACGGCUAACUACGUGCCAGCAGCCGCCGUAA
rnacentral:rRNA from 1 species